UACCAGCACCCCGAGUGGUCGGGACGAUUAUUGGGCCUAAAGCAUCCGUAGCCGGCCUUACAAGUCCUCCGUUAAAUCCAGCUGCUUAACAGAUGGGCUGCGGAGGAUACUAUAAGACUAGGAGGCAGGAGAGGCAAGCGGUACUCAGUGGGUAGGGGUAAAAUCCGUUGAUCCAUUGAAGACCACCAGUGGCGAAGGCGGCUUGCCAGAAUGCGCUCGACGGUGAGGGAGUGAAAGCUGGGGGGAGCAAACCGGG
rnacentral:rRNA from 1 species